rnacentral:rRNA from 1 species
AUUGAACGCUGGCGGCAUGCCUUACACAUGCAAGUCGAACGGUAACGGGCCUUCGGGUGCCGACGAGUGGCGAACGGGUGAGUAAUGCAUCGGAACGUACCUUUCAGUGGGGGAUAACGUAGCGAAAGUUACGCUAAUACCGCAUAUUCUGCGAGCAGGAAAGCAGGGGAUCGCAAGACCUUGCGCUUAUUGAGCGGCCGAUGUCAGAUUAGCUAGUUGGUGAGGUAAAGGCUCACCAAGGCGACGAUCUGUAGCGGGUCGGAGAGGAUGAGCCGCCACACUGGGACUGAGACACGGCCCAGACUCCUAAGGGAGGCAGCAGUGGGGAAUUUUGGACAAUGGGGGCAACCCUGAUCCAGCAAUGCCGCGUGAGUGAAGAAGGCCUUCGGGUUGUAAAGCUCUUUCGGCCGGGAAGAAAUCGCACAGGCUAAUACCUUGUGUGGAUGACGGUACCGGAAUAAGAAGCACCGGCUAACUACGUGCCAGCCGCCGCCGUAACAC